CCUACGGGAGGCUGCAGUAAGGGAUAUUGGUCAAUGGGGGAAACCCUGAACCAGCAAAGCCGCGUGAGGGAAGACGGUUUUCGGAUUGUACACCUCUGUCCUCUGUGAAGAUGAUGACGGUAGCAGAGGAGGAAGCUACGGCUAUCUACGUGCCAGCAGCGGCGGUAAUACGUAGGGAGCGAGCGUUGUCCGGAUUUACUGGGUGUAAAGGGUGCGUAGGCGGGACUGCAAGUUGGGGGUCAAAUCUACCGGCUCAACCGGUAGCCGCACUCAACACUGCAGUUCUUGAGUGAAGUAGAGGCAGGCGGAAUGCCUAGUGUAGCGGUGAAAUGCGUAGAUAUUAGGCGGAACACCAGUGGCGAAGGCGGCCUGCUGGGCUUUUACUGACGCUGAGGCUCGAAAGUGUGGGGAGCAAACAGGAUUAGAUACCCUUGUAGUC
rnacentral:rRNA from 1 species